UAGGGAAUCUUCCGCAAUGGGCGAAAGCCUGACGGAGCAACGCCGCGUGAGUGAUGAAGGUCUUCGGAUCGUAAAACUCUGUUAUUAGGGAAGAACAAAUGUGUAAGUAACUAUGCACGUCUUGACGGUACCUAAUCAGAAAGCCACGGCUAACUACGUGCCAGCAGCCGCGGUAAUACGUAGGUGGCAAGCGUUAUCCGGAAUUAUUGGGCGUAAAGCGCGCGUAGGCGGUUUUUUAAGUCUGAUGUGAAAGCCCACGGCUCAACCGUGGAGGGUCAUUGGAAACUUGAAAACUUGAGUGCAGAAGAGGAAAGUGGAAUUCCAUGUGUAGCGGUGAAAUGCGCAGAGAUAUGGAGGAACACCAGUGGCGAAGGCGACUUUCUGGUCUGUCACUGACGCUGAUGUGCGAAAGCGUGGGGAUCAAACAGG
rnacentral:rRNA from 1 species